GACGAACGCUGGCGGCGUGCCUAAUACAUGCAAGUUGAGCGCUGAAGGUUGGUACUUGUACCGACUGGAUGAGCAGCGAACGGGUGAGUAACGCGUGGGGAAUCUGCCUUUGAGCGGGGGGCAACAUUUGGAAACGAAUGCUAAUACCGCAUAAAAACUUUAAACACAAGUUUUAAGUUUGAAAGAUGCAAUUGCAUCACUCAAAGAUGAUCCCGCGUUGUAUUAGCUAGUUGGUGAGGUAAAGGCUCACCAAGGCGAUGAUACAUAGCCGACCUGAGAGGGUGAUCGGCCACAGUGGGACUGAGACACGGCCCAAACUCCUACGGGAGGCAGCAGUAGGGAAUCUUCGGCAAUGGACGAAAGUCUGACCGAGCAACGCCGCGUGAGUGAAGAAGGUUGUCGGAUCGUAAAACUCUGUUGGUAGAGAAGAACGUUGGUGAGAGUGGAAAGCUCAUCAAGUGACGGUAACUACACAGAAAGGGACGGCUAACUACGUG
rnacentral:rRNA from 1 species